GAUCAUGGCUCAGGACGAACGCUGGCGGCGUGCUUAAUACAUGCAAGUCGAACGAGAAUCUGCGGAAAGAGGAUUCGUCCAAUUGAAUCAGAGGACAGUGGCGGACGGGUGAGUAACGCGUGAGGAACCUGCCUUUCAGAGGGGGACAACAGUUGGAAACGACUGCUAAUACCGCAUGACACAUAGGUGUCGCAUGGCACUUAUGUCAAAGAUUUAUCGCUGAAAGA
rnacentral:rRNA from 1 species